AUGGCCGGCGUGCUGCAGGACGCCAGCGGGAACACCCUCGGGGAGGUGGCUGGGGCUGCAGGGGGAGACAAGGGGGAACCAUCAGGGGACAUAAGGGACCAUGAGGGCAUCGACCUGGGGUUCCUCAAUGGUGUCUUCUCCUCCAUUGCAGAAUCAGCCGCCGCUCCCAAUGUCUACCCAUUGGUGCCCUGUGACUGCACGGAGCCCGUCUCCAUUGGCUGCUUGGCCAAGGACUUCUUCCCAACGCCCAUCUCCAUCACUUGGGUCUCCGAAGUGGAUGGAGACAACGAGACCUUCCCCAUCCAACUGAUCGGGAGCUCCUACAGCGUCAGCUCCCAGUUGACCAUCUCGAGCAGCGUGAAGGGGGAGACCUUCCAGUGCCAGGUGGACCAUAGCAUCACCCAAAGCAGCACCACGGAGACCUUCGUAGGUGACGACCUCUGUUCCGCCUCCCAGUUGUCCAUCAGGCUCUUCGCCGACCCCAACCAGAAGGGCUCGGAGAAGGAGGUCCUCUUGUUGUGCCUGGUGGAGGGCAAGGGGGCAGAAGAAGCCAAGGUGGAGUGGCUGGAGAGCCACGAGGCGCUGGAGGCGGAGCAGGAGGACGUCGCGUGCGAGCAGUGCGGCGGGGACGUGGCCACCAGCGUGAGGAGCACGGUCAAUGUCAGCAGGGACAAGUGGGACGCGGGCACCGAGUUCUCCUGCCGAGUGUCCCACUCGUCGCUGGAGACCCCGGAGGUCCUCAACAUCAGCACCUUCUGCUUGGAUGUGAAGCCCGAGGUGGAAGUCGUCAUCUUGCCGCCAGCCCUUGAGGACCUGUACCUGAAGCAGAACUCCACCAUCACGUGCGUGGUCCUCAACCUCAAAUCCACCGAGGACGUGGCGUUCUCCUGGAGCAGGGACAAAGGGAGCCCAUUGGACGUCACCACGGGGGAGGUGGAGAAGUUGCCCAAUGGGCUCAAUGGGCUCAGCAGCUCCUUGAAGAUCUGCGCCGAGGAAUGGAACUCGGGGGAGACGUUCUCCUGCAGCGUCAACGUCCCGGAGCUCCAGGAACCCAUCACCAGGUCCAUCAAGAAGGACACAGACACCACAGCGAAGGCACCAUCGGUCUAUGUCCUCCCGCCGCCCGCCGAUGAGCUGGUCCUCCAAGAGACGGCCACAUUGACCUGCUUGGCCACAGGCUUCAGCCCAAAGGACAUCUUGGUCACUUGGACCCAACAAGACCGCCCCGUGUCCUCCGAGAGCUUCUCCACCUUUGGUCCCAAAGCUGAAGGAGAUGCCUUCACCGUCUAUAGCAUGUUGAAGGUCCCAGUGGAUGAAUGGCAACGAGGGGACACCUUCUCCUGCGUCGUUGGCCAUGACGGGAUCCCAUUGACCUUCAUCCAGAAGAACCUGGACAAGACCCUUGGUAAACCCACCAUGGUCAACGUCUCCGUGGGAGAGGAGACACAAGGGGAGGGAGAAGAAGACGCCAGCGACCUAUGGACGGCCGUGACCUUCAUCAUCCUCUUCCUCCUCAGCCUCUGCUACAGCACCGGCGUCACCCUCUUCAAGGUGCUGUGAGGGCCACCAAAGGAGGAAGGACCCC